GCGGCUGUGGAGAGACUUGUGGGUAGCUGUAACAAGCAUCUACUACGAUGUUCUCCACUACCUUGAAGAAGAGGGCUUCCUCAGCAUCGACAACAUUACACACCUCUUCUGCUGCCACUUUGUGUUCCUCCCACGCCUGCAGGAUGACCUCGAUACUUUUCGCAGUGGUUGGGACAAUCAUCCCAUAAGAACUGAGAGCCAGAUGACCCCUAACCAGCUGUGGAUGCUGGGUCUUGCACAUCACCCAAUUCCUGAGCCAGAGGAUAUGGACAUUCCAGAUAUUGAGUGGGAAAACAGUGGACUUCCCCAUGAUGACCACUCAAGCAUCAUUGUUCCAGAUGCAGAUUGCCCGCUGACUGAUGAACAAAUAACAUCUUUAGGAGAUGCAGUUAACCCAAGAGCUGCAUCCCAGUCCUUUGGCUGUGAUAUUCACAUUGCCACUGUUCAGUUCUGUGAGCAAUUUCUUUCUCUGUAAAACAACUGAAUUGAGAGCAACAAACUAAAUGGAUGUUGUCAAAGCUUUGAUGUAAGCACUGAUUUAGCCCUCGGGCCACAUGUUUGACACCCCUGCCUUAAUGGCUGGGCCACUAAGGACAGCUAGUCAGCAAGAGAAACAGAAUUAUCUCAGCAACCUUACCUCCACAAAUCACAUCAAAGUAAUAUCUUGAAAAGAUCUUUAAUUUUAGUCCAUUACUGAAAAAUGUUUAACUGAUAAACUGAUUUUGUUUUAUGAGAAAUUGAUUUCUCAUGUAUUGUUUGUACAAAAUAUAAUAGCAAGAACUUUUGCACUUUAACUAGAUCUUGUAUCCUGUGACAACUGACACAAGAUACAUUUAGCGCAUACUGUACCUGCUGUACCGGUUCCCAAACCACCACAUAAUCAUAUAUAACACACAGUUUUAAUUUGUGUGCUGUAAGGAAACGGGAGGAGAGUUUUGAGCUGUUAAAAAGGAAACAAGAUACAAUAGAUUCAGAAUGACUUAGCUACAGUACUCAGCUUUAAACUAUUUUAGACUCUCAGAAGUUAUUUGAUUUGUCAUAUUUCAUUUCAUUCCAGAAAUGUUCUGUUAUUUGUUUGACAUCUAAAGGAAUGAGCCAUGUACCACAUUUUUAUGUGAAAGCUGAAUAUCGGCAUUUGUUUUGUAAUUCUGCAAAGACUUGCAUCUUCUUCAGCUGUAACAGUGAAACCACUACAGUCAAGUCCACAUAACUCCUGGAUUAAUGAUUUAUUUGUCUGCAGAGAUUGUUUAUAAUGAACAU